rnacentral:rRNA from 1 species
GGCGUGUACUGCUUGGCUGGGCCUUACUUCUUGGUGAGCCGGCGUGCCCUUUAUUGGUGUGCGUCGGGGAACCAGGACUUUUACCUUGAGAAAAUUAGAGUGUUCAAAGCAGGCCUAUGCCUGAAUACAUUAGCAUGGAAUAAUAGAAUAGGACGUGCGGUUCUAUUUUGUUGGUUUCUAGAGUCGCAGUAAUGAUUAAUAGGGACAGUUGGGGGCAUUGGUAUUGAGUCGCUAGAGGUGAAAUUCUUGGAUUGACUCAAGACCGACUAUUGCGAAAGCAUUUGCCAAGGAUGAUUUCAUUAAUCAAGAACGAAGGUUAGGGGAUCGAAAACGAUCAGAUACCGUUGUAGUCUUAACAGUAAACUAUGCCGACUAGGGAUCGGAUGACCUCAAAAUUGAUGUGUCAUUCGGCACCUUACGAGAAAUCAAAGUCUUUGGGUUCUGGGGGAGAGUAUGGUCGCAAGGCUGAAACUUAAAGGAAUUGACGGAAGGGCACCCCCAGGUGUGGAGCCUGCGGCUUAAUUUGACUCAACACGGGGAAACUCACCAGGUCCAGACAUAACUAGGAUUGACAGAUUGAUAGCUCUUUCAUGAUUUUAUGGGUGGUGGUGCAUGGCCGUUCUUAGUUGGUGGAGUGAUUUGUCUGGUUAAUUCCGAUAACGAACGAGACCUUAACCUCCUAAAUAGCCAGCCCGGCUUCGGCUGGUCUCUGGCUUCUUAGAGGGACUGUCAG